UAUAACGUAAGAACGUUAAAUACGACGCGAAGGUAAUAAUACUCAAUUAUCCUCGAGAAGUUUAAGGAGGACUGCGCAUGUACUUCCAUCGGUGAUAAAAACGAGUUGCCGAACGAUGCACAAGAAUUCCAGCGCUCAAGGUUACGUAAUGAACGGUGCUUCUCUUCGGGGUCUCCUUCCAGGGACAAUAAAAUUCCGCGCGAGCAAUUAGCACUGGCAACCGGUGAUUACGUCGAGAAAUACACAGGGUGGGUCGUAACACGUGGCCGAACGGAGACGUCAAAAUAGGAAAGAAAGUUCACUGGCAUGUAUAAGAGCACGGGUACUGUGACCAGUAUCAAGAUCAUGGACAGCGAAUAUAUUAAUCUUGAAUCGAGCUUGUAUGAAUGAUUCUACUGAACUGUUUGUAUAAGAUGCAUCGUAACUAUUCGAUGCAAUGUUGGAGAUGCUAUGAUGUUUACGAUUCUUUAAUAAAAACUCGAAUAUAAUCUCUAAAGAAAACCUAAAUAAUAUAAUAAUGAAAAUUACAGAGGACCUGGGAGAAAAAACGGAUCGAGUCAAAUGGUAGUUGUUUUCAGAUUGUUUUAAUUGGGAUAGGAUCAAAUGGGACACGUAAUUACAAGAACUUUCUCCAUUAGUUUUACGUCGUCCGAUCUAUACCCGGGUCCCACGUGUAACGAUACACUCGGCGGAUCGGAUCGACGUGGAUAAUUUUCGAACUUCCUUGUCCGAGCUAAUUCGAAGCCGAGCGUUGCACGUGGAACUCCUCGGUCGUAACACGAAACUAUAAAUUACCGGAAGAACAAGCCGAGGAACGCCGAACCCAGCGCAUCCAGCUGGCAUUCGUGCCGUUCCACUGGACACUCGUCAGCCCUAUCGCUAAUGAAAGGCUGCUCCGAAGGACUCGCGGGGGCAUAAAGGGCGCGCGUGAGCGGACACUACACGAAAAGUCAAACGAGAGAUCAAAACGUUGUUGCAACGGAAGAUUUAUCACGCGAUCCAUGGAUUCCUCAACGAUUUCGGUUGACGAAGACAGAGAAUAAUAUAUGGCGUGACCAAGAAGACCUACUAAAAAAUUUGCAAGCCUAGUACUUCUCGCUUUGAAAGUGCGAAAUAGAUUCUAGCAAUCAUGGGUGUACAAAUAUUUUAUUUGUUCUGUUUGCUUGUUUUCGGAGAAGAAACAAGAGUGCCCUUGGAUACCGCAAUGAAACUGGCUUGACAGUUAAGAUUCUGCACGGUUUCAUAGUUAAUGUUCGAAAUGGCCUCCACUGGAGGUAGCAUGCAAGUUGAUACGCCUAUCAUGGUCUAUCGCAUGUGCACGACACUUCCGGCUGCCUCCGACGGAAUUGCAUACAUUGAUUGCGUUACCUGUUAUUUAUAAUUCACGUGGGAAGGUCAGAUAAAAAUGUUAUUACGGUUUCUUGGCAUUCGUGUGUAACGGGUCCUUCGAAAUUGCUUAGUGAUAGUAAAAGGUAUUCUGAAAAACGUGUAAAAAAAUUAAAAUUCAAUUUGUCACUGCCUCGCGUCUUUGAUUAUUAUCUGCAAAUAUUAAUCCAUUAGGUUACACGACAUUUACAUUCAAUUUCUCCCUUCUUUAAUUUCUACCGCGACGUAAUAAAACGAAUAGUAAGAUAAUUGCAUUUAAACUAGGUAUAAGUAAAUUAUAAUUAAAGUCGAAACGGGGUCACUCGAGAGCCCAGAAAUUCUCCUGAGCUCACAGUGGAUGUGUCUCCGAAACAAAAGGUUUUUAGGCCAAUGCUUUUCAGCGUUCUCUCGCUUGUUUUCAGAUGUGGAGAAUGACAAUUUACCAGGCAGGAUUUUCGAACCACCCUGUACGGAGAUAAAUAUUUCCAUUCCCACAGAAUAAACGUCGCUGGCCCGGUGUAUAUUUUAAUCCAGCGCGGUUUAAUCCGGAUAACGUUUCAGCAUGAAUCAAACGAGCGUCGCGAACGAAAUGCGCGAACAAUGCUCCAGACAACGAUGGAAAGAGUGCAUCUUUCCAGCCCUCUCACGCUCAGUCGCUUCUCGCAGAGAUGGGAAAAAUUUUUCUUCCUUAGAAAAAAUCUGGAACGAGUGAAAGGUAAACAGCUCUUGCUACGUUAGCUGUUCAAUAAAAAUUACUAUCUGAAUUAUAUAAUCGUGUCACGUUUUUGAAACCUUAUCCAAGGAACUGUUUACCUUAGUUUUAUUCGAUUAUUUUACGUUUUUAUUGCACCGUAUCUAAACAGUAUACAAAAAAUGCAAAAAAAAAAAACACACGGAAUUACUACUACUCUUUUAGAUUAAAAUUAAACUCAAUUUCGUUAUUAAAAUUUAAUACUACAAUUUGAUAAGCCUCAACCGUACCUCAUUAGACUGGACUUGCUUAAUCCAUUCACCUAAUAAAUAAAUAAAUAAAAUAUAUAAUACAAUAACAAGUUCUAACAACAACUGCCUUACAGCCCAACAUUAAAUUCCUUUCUGCCAUUCUUAAUCGCAUAAACAUAACGAAUAAAGUUCUGAGUAGAGUUUUUAUUCGUCCUUUAUUAUCCGAAUAAAGUUUUACCUCUGUCUGGCGUCUCUAUUCACGUUUCCACGACGCUGCAAAAGGAAGAAUAAAAAACAUGCGACCGAAACAAUCGUAUCCAGUCCAUGGAAACCGUUUCCACGGCCGUUUCCUCGUGAGAAAAUCGGCGAACCGGCCAAUAAGGCAUCCUUAUACGCCAAUUAUGGUUCAUAACCCGACGAAUCAGCGGUCCUCGUCCCUCGAACGGGGCUGCGUGUCCCGAGUAGUUGCAGCCGAUGUUGCAACCAGCAAAUAAAGUUAUCCAAGGAUGAUGAAAUCGGUCUUUAGGCUUCCGCCCAGGCAACUGGAAUUAAUGAUGAAGUCGAUGAUCGAUCAUGAUUGCGGGAUCGAAAC